AUGACCUGGACUUACCUUGUGCUGAUUCUCCUCUCUCACUGCACAGGUUCCCUGUCUCAGCCUGCACUGACUCAGCCUCCCUCCCUCUCAGCAUCUCCUGGAUCAACAGCCAGACUCACCUGCACCCUGAGUGGUGGCUUCAAGCUUGGUGAAUAUGCAAUCCGUUGGUAUCAGCAGAACCUAGGCAGCCCUCCCUGGUAUCUCCUGUACUACUACACAGACUCCAUCAAGCACCAGGGAUCUGGGGUCUCCAGCCGCUUCACUGGAUCCAAAGAUGCCUCUACAAAUGCAGGAGUUCUGCACAUCUCUCAGUUGCAGGCUGAGGAUGAAGCUGACUACUAUUGUCAGAUCUGGGAUGGUGGUACUAGCAGUCACCCAGUGCUCCAAGCCUAUGAGACAAAAAAAUGUCUCCUGAGUUUUCUCUGCAUUAUUCAGUCACUCUCAUCUAGUAGGGAGUAA